AAUAUUAAAUUGUUUACUUUCCAAUUUUAUUUACCAGUGAUGGGAAUAACGGCGUUGAAAUAAACGGCGUUACUAAAGCCGUUACUUUUUUCAGUAACGAUUAAUCUAACUAUUUACUCUGACUGUCACUAUAACGCCGUUACCAUUACCGACACCCCGUUACUGCACGUUACUGAAGCAGCUCAAUCAUCUUUUUUUUUAUUUUUUUACUUU